rnacentral:rRNA from 1 species
GGUAUGGCUGUUCGCCAUUUAAAGUGGUACGUGAGCUGGGUUUAAAACGUCGUGAGACAGUUUGGUCCCUAUCUGCAGUGGGCGUUGGAAGUUUGACGGGGGCUGCUCCUAGUACGAGAGGACCGGAGUGGACGAACCUCUGGUGUACCGGUUGUGACGCCAGUCGCAUCGCCGGGUAGCUAAGUUCGGAAGAGAUAAACGCUGAAAGCAUCUAAGCGUGAAACUCGCCUGAAGAUGAGACUUCCCUAGGGAUUUAAUCCCUCUGAAGAGACGUUCGAGACCAGGACGUUGAUAGGUCGGGUGUGGAAGAGUGGUAACACUUGGAGCUAACCGAUACUAAUUGCUCGUGAGGCUUGACUCUAU